GGUAGUGUGGUGUAGCGAUUUGGGUAUUAGACUGUGGCUCUGAAGAUCAGGGUUCCAUUCCCUGCUCACCCA